AUCCCCAUUCUUGAUUCCAGACUAACUCUCAUAUAUAUAUACGUAAAUGUACGAAAGCUUGGCACGUCGAAUACGGAAACCCGGAAAUCUUUUCACCGUUGUCGUUUUUAUACUAUGACGCAAAAUCCAUGGACGCUCGUCUGCUGCUGAAUUCAUGUUUUAAAAGAAUGGACAAAGAUAGUCAGAUAGUUGAUACAAAGACCUUUGAUUUUUCAAACUGAUGGAUCAAAAAUUUAUUAUAAACAGAUAUAUUGAAAUGGCCGACUCAAAAUCAUGCUGUUAAUUAGUGCCUCCUGUUGUACAUGUACUUAGGAAUCGGACACCUCCAGAAGAUGAAAGAUCUACUUUACAUCUUUUUCAACGAAAGUACAAUUACUUUGAGAAGUAGGAGAAGCUAAGCAACAGGACAGAAUUCAUUUGAGGCAUUGCUUUCUAGAUUAUAUAGUGGAGUCAUAGAUUGUCCUAUUGAUUUAUGUGGAUAUGAGGAGCAGUAGUCAAUGAAUAAUUUUGUGAUGAGAGCUGUACAUUGUAUUACAACAAAUGGACAGAGGAGUUGACUAUUGAUAGUGACUGAUAAUGGACUGGAGUAACCUAGGGUCCAAUGACUCCAUGCCUGACAGUCCAUGUGUACAUAAUUAGCUCCUCAGAUGUAAGUGGAAGGGAAGCUAUAUACAUUAUAUGUUUAAAUGAAAUUAACAACAGGAUUAGAUAUUGAGGAGAUCCUAUAGCUACAGUAUAUAUAAAUGUAACUGGUAUGUAUUUGUUACAGUAUUUAAUUUCCAAAUGGUAUAACAAAAAUACUGAAUUCCAAGGCAAUUUCAAAAAAAUCGUAAGGGUUCCGCAGAACCCAGUGUCUCGCCUACUUUUGCUGUUAAUUGCAUCAUUUUCUCAUCACUUGGCGUCCGUCGUCGUCCGUUAACUUUUACAAAAAUCUUCUCUGAAACUAUUGGGCCAAAUAAAACCAAACUUGGCCUAAAUCAUCCUUAGGGUAUCUAGUUUAAAAAAUGUAUCCGUUGACCCUGGCCAUCAACCAAGAUGGCCAAUAUUGCUAAAAAUAGAACAUGGGGGUAAAAUGCAGUUUUUGGCUUCUAUCUUUGAAACCAAAGCAUUUAGAGCAAAUCUGACAUGGGGUAAAAAUGUUCAUCAGGUGAAUAUCUAUAUCUGUUG